ACAGUGGACGCGAGCAUCUGUGGCCAAGUUUUUAAGGGCGCACGGUGGAUGCCUUGGCACCAGGAACCGAUGAAGGACGUGGGAGGCCACGAUAGUCCCCGGGGAGCCGUCAACCAGGCUUUGAUCCGGGGGUUUCCGAAUGGGGAAACCCGGCAGUCGUCAUGGGCUGUCACCCAUGCCUGAACACAUAGGGCAUGUGGAGGGAACGAGGGGAAGUGAAACAUCUCAGUACCCUCAGGAAGAGAAAACAACCGUGAUUCCGGGAGUAGUGGCGAGCGAAACCGGAUGAGGCCAAACCGUAUGCGUGUGAGACCCGGCAGGGGUUGCGCAUGCGGGGUUGUGGGAUCUCU
rnacentral:rRNA from 2 species